UUCGGAAAAGCUGGGGACCAGCAGCAGCGACCCAGCAGUGAGGGAGAGAAUUUUAAAACAGGACGGCAGAGCGGAGAGCACCACGAUAAUUCUAUUCUUUCACUCUUUCUCCUCUUAUUCUCACGUCUUCAUAUUAAUUUAAUGAUUAA
ensembl:ncRNA C48A7.5 ncRNA